rnacentral:rRNA from 1 species
GUGGGGAAUAUUGCACAAUGGGCGCAAGCCUGAUGCAGCCAUGCCGCGUGUGUGAAGAAGGCCUUCGGGUUGUAAAGCACUUUCAGCGGGGAGGAAGGCGAUAAGGUUAAUAACCUUGUCGAUUGACGUUACCCGCAGAAGAAGCACCGGCUAACUCCGUGCCAGCAGCCGCGGUAAUACGGAGGGUGCAAGCGUUAAUCGGAAUUACUGGGCGUAAAGCGCACGCAGGCGGUCUGUCAAGUCGGAUGUGAAAUCCCCGGGCUCAACCUGGGAACUGCAUUCGAAACUGGCAGGCUAGAGUCUUGUAGAGGGGGGUAGAAUUCCAGGUGUAGCGGUGAAAUGCGUAGAGAUCUGGAGGAAUACCGGUGGCGAAGGCGGCCCCCUGGACAAAGACUGACGCUCAGGUGCGAAAGCGUGGGGAGCAAACAGGAUUAGAUACCCCGGUAGUCC